rnacentral:lncRNA from 1 species
CAGAAGCCUAGAUAAAGAAACAAGAUUUCAGGCAGGAAGAAAUAAUAAAGAGGCAGGACUUCAAGUGUCCUGUGAAACACAACAUUCGGCCUCCGGCACACACAUCCGUGGGAGACGGCUCAACUUCUUUAUAAAGUGAGGAACCAAAUUGUGAAGACAUCUGUUCUGUUAUUAAUUUCACAUACAUCUUAAGCUCCUCAAGGCCAGAAAUGAGGCUUCAUUCACGUCGAAUUAAUGAAACAUGAUUCAGCUACAUUUUCACCCCAUCCCGGGCUCCAUGUUCCUGCUGCACACACAUCAAGAAUGCUGCUAAUUUCAGCGUCUGCCUUCCAGACCCAGACGUCAAAACAACUACCUUUCAUCUCAGGUUUGUAACACAGAAAACCUUCAAUAUUGGGAACAGAUAACCUCGAAGGUGGGUUCAUAUCUCUCAGCACGAUUGCUGUAACUUAACUCUGCUGCACCCGAUCAAGGCUUUCUCUCUGCCUCAUAGGUAUUUUAAUACAAAUGUUCCUUUCAUUUGGCUGAUUGAAGGUCUCCAACCUGCAAUAAAUGAAACAUCUGAUCCCCUUGAAUCCAAAUAACUUUUUCUUUGAUUUUCUUUUACUUCUAUUUCUUCGUCCUUUGUUCUACAGCCCGAGUCAAAUUUCCCUUUAGAAAUUGAAAGAAUGUGUGUGGGUUUUUCCUGCUUUUUUUUUUUUUUUAACCAAGCUCUAGUGCAACCGCUGGUUCAUGGACUAGAAUAUUAAGAUCCAAUUCAAUGGCAGACUGUCUCCAGCAAUGUUGUAUUUUUAUUUUUUUUUGCCGUCAUCCCCCCCACCCACUUGUGAGCAAUGGUUGUACAAAUUAGCCUCUGUGUACUAGUCACCGAAGCUGGCUUCCCAAUUAACCCCAGGCUUGAGAGAAAAUAAGACUAAAGAUUCUUCCCCUCCUGAAAGAACUAAGUUAUCCAUGCACAAAAGCCUACAUGUUGGCACCUGGCUAUGGAGUUGGGCAUUUAAUUGCCUUUGUAAUGACUCAGUCCAUCUGCAUGGUAUUGGGUCCCCAGUUUCAGGUAAUGGGCCAGAGGGGUCUUAUUAGUCUCUGGAAUGACCAGGCCAUGUGUAUUCAUCACUUCGAAAGGCAAGCAGGGUCUGUGAGAAGCUGGUGAAGCUCUUUGUGUGUUCACAUCUCUGAUUGUGCCCUGUGUCCACACUUAGCCAGGACACCUACCCACUUAGUGGUCUUGGCUUUGUUUCUAGGGUGAGGGCUUGAGCUGUGGGUAACAGUGCUGAUUAUUACAUGCUAGUAAGAUUGUCUCCCUCUUUGAAGUGGUAGAAAGGUUUGUCCCUUCAGGGUGAUUGGGUGAAUAUCAGAAAGCAACCACAGGAACAUUUUGUUGUACUUUGCUAAGGUCUAAAUAUUUGUCUCCUCCCACCAAAAAUUAGUGGUUGAAACCUCAUCCCCAGUGUGAUGAAAUGAGGAGGUGAGGCCUUUGGGAGGUGACGAGGUCUUGAAGGCAGAGCCUUUAUGGAUGGGAUUAGUACCCAUAUAAAAGAGACCUCAGGGAGCUUGUUCACCCCUUCUGUCAUGUUGAGUACUCAGCAAGAAGAUGCCAUCUAUGAGGAAUGGACCCCCACCAGACACCCAAUCUGCCAGUAACUUGAUCUUGGACUUCCCAGCCUCCAGAACUGUGAGGAAUCAGUUUCUGCUAUUUAUGAGUUACCCAGUCUAUGGCAUUUUGCUAUGGCAGCCCAAAUAGACUGAGACAUACUCCUUAACCUUUGACCCACUUCUGUUUAGGCCCAGCCAGCCUUCCUGAGCCUGUGCAUAGUCUUCCUGGCUCAAGGAACUCUCUCUACCGAGGUGUGAUCUCCUAACUCCUGGCACUCAUUUACCUAUCCAUGGUUGGUAGUCAGCCUCCAAGAUGCCUGCAGUCAUCCCUGCCUCCUGGGAUUCAUAUCCUCCUCCACAUUGUGCCAGGAUUGGGCUCUGUGGCCAAAAAGAAAACAGCAGAUGAGAGGACGUGUCUCUUCUCAGAAGGGUUAGAAAAGACUGUGGCUUCCAUUUUAGAUGACUUUCUCUCUCUCUCUCUCUCUCUCUCUCUCUCUCUCUCUCUCUCUCCUCUUUUCCUUCUUCUCUUCCUUGGAUCUCUUGCUCUGAGGAAAGCAAACUACUAUGUUGUGAGCAGCCCAAUGGAGAGGCCCACAAGACAACGAACUGAAGCCUCCAGCAACAACCCUGUGAGGUCAGUUUGGAAGUGGAUUUUCUAGCCCCAAUUGAGCUUAAGAUGACUUCAGCUUCAGCAGACAGCUUGACUGCAGCCUUUCUAGAGAGCAAGCACCACCCAGCUCUGCUGCUUCUAGACCCCUGACCUCAGAAAUUGCACGAGAUAACAUGUUUGCUGUUUCAGGCUGCCAAAUUUAGGGGCUGGAACUGCCCAUAAAGGCUGGCACCCCAGCAGCCACCUUGAGAAAUGCAGUGAUGAUGCUGAGUGGCAAGGCAGAAGGCACAGGGUCCCUGCACCUGAGGAUUGCUGCUCCAAACCUGGGCCACCAGCCUGAAGAUCCCGCCAGGGAGAAAUAAAGCUCUGUUUUGCUGAAGCCA